CCUACGGGGGGCAGCAGUGAGGAAUAUUGGUCAAUGGGCGCGAGCCUGAACCAGCCAAGUAGCGUGAAGGAUGACUGCCCUACGGGUUGUAAACUUCUUUUAUAAAGGAAUAAAGUGAGGCACGUGUGCCUGUUUGUAUGUACUUUGUGAAUAAGGCUCGGCUAAAUCCGUGCCAGCAGCCGCGGUAAUACGGAGGGUCCGAGCGUUAUCCGGAUUUAUUGGGGUUAAAGGGAGCGUAGAUGGGUUGUUAAGUCAGUGGUGAAAGUUUGCGGCUCAACCGUAAAAUUGCAGUUGAUACUGGCAGCCUUGAGUGCAGUUGAGGUAGGCGGAAUUCGUGGUGUAGCGGUGAAAUGCUUAGAUAUCACGAAGAACUCCGAUUGCGAAGGCAGCUUACUAACCUGCCACUGACAUUGAGGCUCGAAAGUGUGGGUAUCAAACAGGAUUAGAUACCCGAGUAGUC
rnacentral:rRNA from 1 species